UUGUAAUUGAAUAAAAGCUCAUCUUCUGUAGACUCACUGAAAACAUCUCAGAGACAGUUCCAGAAGCAGUGAGGACAAAGUGUAUGCCUACAAAGAGAGAAGCUGCUUCCGCUCAUCCUCUCUGGGAUUUUGUCUUCACCCUACACCUGAAGGAGCCCACAGGCCAACAGGGAGUGAGUGUUCUCAUCUUGGAGAGCCAGCAGGAAUGGAGGCCUUGUCUCUUGCAUUGGCAUGGUCCAGAUGAAGAAACUGGGAUCCAGAGGGGAAAACA